rnacentral:sRNA from 2 species
AGCCAAAUUCAAUAGCAACAAAGGGCUGUCGACCUGUGCGUAUUCUCCUUAUAUCGGAGCGUCUCGCCGAGGUAAAUCUUGCCCAGCCGUGUUGUUCAGCGACCCUUGCCGCUGUCCCCAAAAUUUCUACCAUCUUUCCUACCUCCUGAGUUCAUUCAACCACCAUCAAUCCAAAAUGGAGGCUUCAAGAGGACCUCCGCGGGUCAAAAACAAGGCGCCGGCUCCACAGCAGAUAUCUGCUGAGCAGCUCCUCCGUGAAGCUGUUGACCGUCAAGAACCCGCGCUCCAAGCCCCUACACAGCGGUUCGCCGAUCUUGAAGAGCUCCAUGAAUACCAAGGCCGGAAACGCAAAGAAUUUGAGGACUACGUGCGGCGGAACCGCAUUAGCAUGAACAACUGGAUGCGAUAUGCACAAUGGGAAUUGGAACAGAAGGAAUUCCGCCGUGCGAGGUCGGUGUUCGAGAGGGCAUUGGACGUUGACCCUACAUCUGUGGUAUUAUGGAUUCGCUAUAUUGAAGCAGAGAUAAAGACAAGGAAUAUCAAUCAUGCGCGGAACCUGCUUGACCGCGCUGUGACGAUUCUUCCCCGUGUGGAUAAACUGUGGUAUAAAUAUGUUUAUAUGGAAGAAAUGUUGGGUAACAUCGCAGGAACACGUUGGGAGCCGGAUGAAGGCGCAUGGGGUGCUUACAUUAAGCUUGAGAAGCGAUAUAACGAAUUCGAUCGGGUGCGGGCUAUUUUUGAGCGCUUUACUGUUGUCCACCCGGAGCCGAAAAAUUGGAUUAAAUGGGCACGGUUUGAGGAAGAGUAUGGGACAAGUGACUUGGUGAGGGAGGUCUAUGGACUUGCUAUCGAGACUCUUGGUGAAGAUUUCAUGGAUGAAAAGCUCUUUAUUGCGUAUGCUCGAUAUGAAGCCAAGCUAAAGGAAUUUGAACGAGCCAGGGCAAUAUAUAAAUAUGCGCUUGACAGAUUACCGCGUUCGAAAUCUAUUGCUCUACACAAAGCCUACACUACCUUCGAGAAACAGUUCGGUGACCGGGAGGGUGUUGAGGAUGUCAUCCUUUCAAAACGGAGGGUCCAAUACGAAGAACAGGUCAAGGAGAACCCGAAAAACUAUGAUAUCUGGUUUGACUUUGUCAGGUUGGAGGAGUCUUCUGGAGAUGUGGACCGCGUGCGGGAUGUCUAUGAGCGGGCAAUUGCACAGAUUCCUCCUUCGCAAGAGAAGCGACACUGGCGUCGAUAUAUCUACCUAUGGAUAUUUUACGCUCUCUGGGAAGAACUUGAAACCAAGGACAUGGAUCGCGCUCGCCAAAUUUACCAAGAAUGCAUAAAAUUGAUCCCUCACAAGAAAUUCACGUUUGCUAAGAUCUGGUUGAUGAAGGCUCAGUUUGAAAUUCGACAAAUGGAUCUUCAGACGGCCAGAAAGACCCUUGGUCAUGCGAUUGGUGCAUGUCCAAAAGACAAGCUAUUCAAGGGCUAUAUCGACAUCGAGCGACAACUUUUCGAGUUUGUUCGAUGUAGGAAAUUAUUUGAGAAGCAAAUCAAAUGGAACCCUGCAAACUGCCAAGCGUGGAUCAAAUUUGCAGAACUGGAGCGGGGAUUAGAUGAUAUUGACCGAGCACGUGCUAUAUACGAGUUGGGCAUUUCCCAGCCUGUCCUAGACAUGCCUGAGCUUCUAUGGAAGUCAUAUAUCGAUUUUGAAGAGUACGAGGGUGAGUAUAAUAGAACUAGGAUGUUGUACGAACGCUUGCUCGAGAAAACGGAUCACGUCAAAGUCUGGAUCAAUUACGCACGAUUCGAAAUUAACAUACCUGAAGGGGAUGAGGAAGAGGAGGAGGAGGAAGAGAGACCUGUUAGCGAAGAGGCUAAGCGCCGUGCUCGAAAGGUCUUUGAGCGCGCGCAUAAUGUGUUUAAAGAGAAGGAGAUGAAAGAAGAGCGAGUCGCUCUCCUCAAUGCGUGGAAAUCCUUCGAGCAGACACACGGGUCGCCGGAUGACAUCGCCAGGAUCGAAAAGCAAAUGCCCAGCAAGGUCAAGAAGCGGCGCAAGCUGGAUGAUGAUCGCUAUGAAGAAUACAUGGAUUACAUGUUCCCUGCGGACGACGAGUCGUCAGCCAAAUUGUCACAAAUUCUUCAGAGAGCACACCAAUGGAAGAAGGAGCAGGCGAGCAAUAUGGGGAAGGGAGAGGCAUGAAUGUAUGUCGGUCGUUAGGAUGGAUUAAUGAGAGUGUCUCAGAUGGAGGGACAUGACUGUUUCUAUUGUUCAAAUUGCUUAGCGGUCAGUAACAUCAGAGUACAGCACGGCGUUUGAAGCCAGUGAUUUAGCUAUAUUGGUGUUUUAAGAAGGGCAUUAUAUCAUUUUGCUACUAGAAUAAUAUUCCAGGCACUUGAAGAACCAAUAUUACUCACAUCAGCUAAUUGUCAUCUAUCAAAAUUCGUCAUUCAAAACAA